GACGAACGCUGGCGGCGUGCUUAACACAUGCAAGUCGAACGGAAAGGCCUCUUUCGGGGGGUACUCGAGUGGCGAACGGGUGAGUAACACGUGAGUAACCUGCCCUUGACUUUUGGAUAACGUCAGGAAACUGGGGCUAAUACCGGAUAGGAGCUCCUGCUGCAUGGUGGGGGUUGGAAAGUUUCGGCGGUUGGGGAUGGACUCGCGGCUUAUCAGCUUGUUGGUGGGGUAGUGGCUUACCAAGGCUUUGACGGGUAGCCGGCCUGAGAGGGUGACCGGCCACAUUGGGACUGAGAUACGGCCCAGACUCCUACGGGAGGCAGCAGUGGGGAGUAUUGCACCAUGGGUGGAAGCCUGAUGCAGCAACGCCGUGUGCGGGAUGACGGCCUUCGGGUUGUAAACCGCUUUCGCUCAUGACGAAGCUUUGUGUGACGGUAGUGGGUAAAGAAGCACCGGCUAACUACGUG
rnacentral:rRNA from 1 species